GGGUCCAUAGCUCAAUGGUAGAGCAUUUGACUGCAAAUCAAGAGGUCACCGGUUUGGCCCU
rnacentral:tRNA from 1 species